rnacentral:rRNA from 1 species
UGCCCUACGGGGGGCAGCAGUGGGGGAUAUUGCACAAUGGGGGCAACCCUGAUGCAGCGACGCCGCGUGAGCGAUGGAGUACUUCGGUAUGUAAAGCUCUGUCAGCAGGGAAGAGAAUGACGGUACCUGACCAAGAAGCCCCGGCUAAAUACGUGCCAGCAGCCGCGGUAAUACGUAUGGGGCAAGCGUUAUCCGGAUUUAUUGGGCGUAAAGCGAGUGCAGGCGGUUCAAUAAGUCUGAUGUGAA